GUUAUACAGAGAAGAUUAGCAUGGCCCCUGUGCAAGGAUGACACACAAAUUCAUGAAACGUUCCAUAUUUUU
rnacentral:snRNA from 1 species